rnacentral:rRNA from 1 species
UUCGGUAAUGACGUUAGGAAAGCGAGCGGCGGAUGGGUGAGUAACACGUGGGGAACCUGCCCCAUAGUCUGGGAUACCACUUGGAAACAGGUGCUAAUACCGGAUAAGAAAGCAGAUCGCAUGAUCAGCUUUUAAAAGGCGGCGUAAGCUGUCGCUAUGGGAUGGCCCCGCGGUGCAUUAGCUAGUUGGUAAGGUAAAGGCUUACCAAGGCGAUGAUGCAUAGCCGAGUUGAGAGACUGAUCGGCCACAUUGGGACUGAGACACGGCCCAAACUCCUACGGGAGGCAGCAGUAGGGAAUCUUCCACAAUGGACGCAAGUCUGAUGGAGCAACGCCGCGUGAGUGAAGAAGGUUUUCGGAUCGUAAAGCUCUGUUGUUGGUGAAGAAGGAUAGAGGUAGUAACUGGCCUUUAUUUGACGGUAAUCAACCAGAAAGUCACGGCUAACUACGUGCCAGCAGCCGCGGUAAUACGUAGGUGGCAAGCGUUGUCCGGAUUUAUUGGGCGUAAAGCGAGCGCAGGCGGAAGAAUAAGUCUGAUGUGAAAGCCCUCGGCUUAACCGAGGAACUGCAUCGGAAACUGUUUU